AUUAUAUUAUAUACACCUAAUAGAAAAUGCACGAUCAAUAAAAACAAAAGAAAUUGUAAACAAGUUAUUUAGGUUGAUAUAGGCCAGUGUCCAAUUAAAAUGAAAUGCAGUAUUUUGAUUAAAGAAAUAACAUUUAGAAAAGACAUUUAAUUUGUCAAAGUUUCUUAUAUAGUCUUUUCCUAUUUAUUUGCUAGGUUUUGAUGAUCAAAGAUAAUGUUUUCAACUUAACAGCUGUACCACAUUAUCAAGCUAUUCAAGAUGGAAAGAAGUCUGCAGCCAUCAUGCCCAAUGAAUGGCUAAACCCAGAGAGCACCAACAGAUAUUUCUGGCCUACCUCUAAAGCAGACUCCACCUGGCUAAACAACACAAAAAAGCAAGGUCCGAACUGGAACAUUUUCACUACCAGAGGAUCAUUAAAAGCACAUGGGCCUCAAUCACAUUUUCUGAAUUGACACCAGCAGCAUCUUCAGCAGCUGCUACUGACAGCCACCGUCAGACGGUCUGUUCCUGCAUCACCAUCAUCAGCACCAGCAACAUCUGCUAGCGACUCAACACGGCACGACACCCUGUCGAAGACUGUCCCUCCAGGCAACUUGGAGGGUGGCCGGCAACUCGGUGGCCAGAGGAAGAACUGACUAACGAACCUCUGAGUUUCUCUCUUCCCGUGUAUCAAAGUCACGUGUUUGUAGAGGAAACCAGUAGAAGUGAGAUAAACAUAAAGACCAGUACAACAACUGCACACCUCAUUAAACUUCAGCAAAGGACGGGCUUGGUUGUACAGGUUACAGAAAUAU